AGGUACCGCAGUCUCAAGCACUUCAAUUCUGACAUCUGCCAAAGCUGUUUCUUUUCGGGGCGCACAUCAAAGGGACACAAGUUACAUUGCCCCAUGGUGGAGUACUGCACUCCGAACCUACCCCGGAAGAGAGAGCCCAGAGAAUUGCCAAAGCUGUCCGCAAACAGUCAAUAGAAGUGAAGGAAACUUGGGAGCAAUUGAAAACCCAUGUGAGCAACUGGCAGAAACAGGUGGAAAAGGUGUUGGAGAAACUUCAAGAACUGCAGAAAGCUCUGGAUGAUCUUGAGGCUCAUGUGAUAACAGCUGAAGGGGUCCGCACUGAUUGACAACCUGUGGGUGAACUGCUUAUUGACUCAUUGCAGGAUCACAUUGAUAAAACCACAGUUCAGCUAGGAUCCAGCUGUGCUUAGUUUCAAUUUGGCUUUGGAUCCAAUCUAAUAAUACUGUAAAGGAAUAUAAGAACCAAGGGCAGGAGAAGACUGUGCAGCCCACUGUGCCUGCUUCCUCAUUCACUACAAUUGUGGCUCAUCUUGGGCUUCAAAUUUGCUUUCCUGCUUGCUCCCUGAGUCCCUCGAUUCCCUGAGAGAAUGAAGGUAAAUUUUGUUCUUAAGUACAUUCAGUGAAAACACUUGAUAUAUAUUUGAUUUUAUCAUUAUGAGCCUGUUUUGAGCAGCAUUUUCUUGGGACGUAAAUUUUUUUUGGAUUUGUCACAAUCUAUAUUGGAAGAGCCUACUAGAGAUUGAACCCCACUAUUCCAUAAAUAAUUGUAAAUAUGACGAGUGUAACCUCAAGGAUUGUUAAUGUCUGACUGUUACCGUUAUUGAGGAUAAAAGAAAUUUUCUCCAGGCUUCAUCAAUUAAUGGGGGAAAAAGUACAUUUAUUAUUUUAAAUGUAUUCUUUAACAAGUGACAAAGUGGAUUAUUAAUGAUGAACAUGUAAACUUAAACCAUUCUACAUUCAGGUGCAGACAUGCAUACACUUGUCACCAAUAAGGUGGCAGGAUAGUCAAGAUGAACAGUUAUUCUGCAGUAUCGUGGGUGGGAGAUAUCAGUAAAAAGAACAAACCCUGCAGAACAAGACUCUCAGCCAAAAGCGGGGUAAAUGAGGUGACUUUCUCACAGUUCCUCUGCUUUUUGACAAUGGUGUCGUGUCACCGAUCACCACAUUGAUCCUCAAUUUGACAGUUGAUCAAUUGAACCUAUGUCUGGGCUUGGAUCAGAAAAAGGCCUGAUUCCACACUGUAGGCAUUCUAACACAAGUUUGAUUUGUGUAUGCUGAAAAGAUUUUGGGCCAGAAAGUCCUCAGCAAAGACAUUUUGGUUGAGAGUUAUGUGCUGUGUUGAAUUAAUGUAGCGACUGCCACCCACUGUUGUAGAGUAUAGCUGAAAAACAGAUGAGUAUGGAGGAACUGAUGGGUACAUCUCCAGCAAGGUAACAGCCUUUCAGGAAAAUUGCGCAAGUAACUAGUAAAAUUUGAGUGAGAUUUUUUGGUAAAUUAUUCUUUAACUGAAGUGCGGAAAAAUGUGAGCUCAGCGAUUUUUUUUUUGGUGAUCAACUUCGACUCCAUUAUCCUGCAUCACAAUCAAAUUCUAAUAUUUCUGAACUGAAGAAUCAUAGAAUUUUACAGUAUAGAAGGUGGCCAUUUGGCCCACUCUGUCUGUACUGGCUCCUGAAAGAGCUACCCAGCUGUGUCUCUGUAGGCCUCUAAAUUCAGCACUUUCAAAUAUAUAUCUCAGGAAGGGUCACCGGACCUUAGAUGUUAAUUCCAAUUUCACUUCACAGAUGCUGUCAGGCCUGUUGAUCUUUUCCAGCAACUUCUGUUUUUGUCAAGUAAAGAGAUUUAGAUUCUCCCUUACUGGAGAUUGUCAUUGCCUGACACUUUUUUGUAAUGCAUAAUUCGUACCACUUGUCAGCCCUAGCCUAAACUUUGCCCAGGCCUUGCUGCAUAUGGACAUGGACUGCAGUAAUCAGUGCCUAUACCCACUUCUGACUUUGUGAAGGAGUUACAUUCAUUGAUAAAGCAG